GCAGAGACUUUUGGGGUGGUUCUGUUGCAGCUUCUCAGUUAGGGAUUUUGUGAGUUGUUUUGUUUGUUGUAAGUGUUUCCAACUGUUUUAUGCAGCAUUAGUGAGAGUAAAAGCAGUGUUUAAGCUGUAUGCUCUUGUAAAAAGUACAAUCCUCUAGAGUAUCGUCUUUUAUAAGACAGAAGGGGCUCUGCUUUGCCCCCCACUUGAGCCCGAUGUGAUCCAGAUGACGGGGGUUUCCAAAGACCUCAUCCUGCGACUCUGACCCUGGAAUCAAUACCUUCAUUUAUGGUCCACCACCUUCAAUCAAUUCUGCCCCCGUCUCCUCUGCACGAUGGACUGCCUCGGACCGGACACAUGUGAAAGACCCCUUACGCUUCAGUGGAAACACAACUCGACCCAGGCCAGAGAAGCUUUUUCAGGGCCAAGCCAAGGCAAAUAUCAUUACUGUGAUUAAGAUUGAUUACUUCUGCUGGUGAUGGGAGCAGAAGAGCGUCCACUAAGGAAGAGAGACUCACAAAUACACAAGAAAGAGGAAAAAGAAGACAGAAGAGGGAAUUGAGUGAUGUGAAUGGAUGCCUGACCUGAGAGACAAAGGAAUCUUUCAAACUAUUCCUAACCAUUACUCGGCCUGUCACGUUACCUCCGCCACCGCUCUUAUAAAUUAACCAUCUCACAGAGCGGCUCAAUCCUGCAACCCUCUCUUUGCGCCACAAUUAGGUUUCUCUGCUUUGUAAGCCUUCCUUAUCUCUUUGCUUUUACCCCAGCCUUCAUCAGCGCAGACAUAUAUCACGAUUUUUCCUCUCCUUCCUCCCAUUCUUAUUCAGACCCUCAUCCUCAAGAGUGCACAGCAUUCAUCAUGAGUUUGAGGAGGUUUGUUAAGAUUCUGGUAAGGACUUUUGCUACAUUGGAUUUGAUGGAAAACCUCCAGAAACAAAGCAAAAAGAAAAUAAUUCUCUUUUGAAGACAAUGAACACAAAUAAAAAAUGCCUCUUUAAGUUGUAGAUAAACUAAAUUGAGACUUCAUUUAAGUUAAUCUUGGCCUUUCAUGACAACCUUUGGCACUCUUCUUUUAAGUUAGACCAUAAAAAUAAAGAUGUGUCAGUCAGAUGUGUUCAUAUUAUGGUACUAGUAGUAGAAAAGGCCUCAGAUGCUGCCCACAAUGCAGCGUCAGGUAUUUACAAGUACUCUUGUGUGUGUAUCAGAACUGAGCUCUCCUGUUAGCGCAGAAUAAAAUGAAAUUUUUCA